rnacentral:rRNA from 1 species
UACGGAAGGUCCGGGCGUUAUCCGGAUUUAUUGGGUUUAAAGGGAGCGUAGGCCGGAGAUUAAGCGUGUUGUGAAAUGUAGGAGCUCAACUUCUGCACUGCAGCGCGAACUGGAAGGCUUGAGUACGCUGUAGGUAGGCGGAAUUCGUGGUGUAGCGGUGAAAUGCUUAGAUAUCACGAAGAACUCCGAUUGCGAAGGCAGCUCACUGGAGCGCAACUGACGCUGAAGCUCGAAAGUGCGGGUAUCGAACAGG